rnacentral:rRNA from 1 species
UACGUAGGGACCAAGCGUUGUUCGGAUUUACUGGGCGUAAAGGGCGCGUAGGCGGCGCGGUAAGUCACUUGUGAAAUCUCUGAGCUUAACUCAGAACGGCCAAGUGAUACUGCAGUGCUAGAGUGUGGAAGGGGCAAUCGGAAUUCUUGGUGUAGCGGUGAAAUGCGUAGAUAUCUGGAGGAACACCGGUGGCGAAGGCGGCAUCCUGGACCAAUACUGACACUGAGGAGCGAAAGCCAGGGGAGCAAACGGG